rnacentral:rRNA from 1 species
CCUACGGGAGGCAGCAGUGAGGGAUAUUGGUCAAUGGGCUUACGCCUGAACCAGCCAAGUCGCGUGAGGGAAGACUGCCCUAUGGGUUGUAAACCUCUUUUGUCAGGGAGCAACGCCGGCUACGUGUAGCCGGACUGAGAGUACCUGAAGAAAAAGCAUCGGCUAACUCCGUGCCAGCAGCCGCGGUAAUAGGGGGGAUGCGAGCGUUAUCCGGAUUUAUUGGGAUUAAAGGGUGCGUAGGCGGAAUGCCAAGUCAGCGGUAAAAGCGCGGGGCUCAACCUCGCUCCGCCGUUGAAACUGGCGUUCUUGAGUGGGCGAGAAGUAUGCGGAAUGCGUGGUGUAGCGGUGAAAUGCAUAGAUAUCACGCAGAACUCCGAUUGCGAAGGCAGCAUACCGGCGCCCAACUGACGCUGAAGCACGAAAGCGUGGGUAUCGAACAGGAUUAGAUACCCUUGUAGUC